GCCGCGUUGUUUUGACGUGCUUUUGCAGCUCACUGGGGUUUCACGCAUUUUGUUCUUCUCUCGCGACAUGACAUUCGCUGUCUUGCAUCCGGUCGAGGAGAGGCCCCAAUGUGCCGAGCCAGACGGGCGGCACCGUGUGUACGGCGUUUCCAGAACAAAGGCCGGCACCACGAGAGCGUCGCCGGUGUGGACUUGAUGGCCCUCGAAUCCGGCGGGACCGAAAUCAUGCCUCCCAGUUGCUGAGAACCGUGCAGGUUUGUACACCAGGCUGUCUACAAAAAGUCUGCGAGGUCCAACAAGGUGACCGGAGAAGGGGUGUUUGGUCUGCACCCAGUGCUGCUGGUGCUGAAGACUGGCGGGUGGGAGCAGUUCUUUCUGCACGUCCGUGGCGGCAAGCUGAAUUUCCGGAGUGUCGUUGCUCUGGACAGAGAUACUGGGUUUCGCCGAGCAGCGGGAACUGGCGUCCAAGUGGUCUUCCCUCACCAACCUAGACCACCUCACCGAGAAAGGAACCCAUCAGGGGAUUUGCCUGGAUGCCACCCAGUUGCCAGUUACCAGCGGCCACGAGCUUUUGGCUGCGUCCGAAUCUAGG